rnacentral:rRNA from 1 species
AGUGAACGCUGGCGGCGUGCUUAACACAUGCAAGUCGAACGAGAACGGGUUAUAGCUUGCUAUAAUUGUCAGCUAAGUGGCGCACGGGUGAGUAAUGUAUAGGUAAUAUGCCUCUUACUAAGGGAUAACAAAUGGAAACGUUUGCUAAUACCUUAUACUCCUUAUUAACAGAAGUUAAUAAGGGAAAGAUUUAUUGGUAAGAGAUUAGCCUGUAUUGUAUCAGUUAGUUGGUGGGGUAAUGGCUUACCAAGACUAUGACACAUGACUGGCUUGAGAGGAUGAUCAGUCACACUGGAACUGAGACACGGUCCAGACUCCUACGGGAGGCAGCAGUGGGGAAUAUUGCACAAUGGACAAAAGUCUGAUGCAGCAACGCCGCGUGGAGGAUGACACAUUUCGGUGCGUAAACUCCUUUUAUAUGAGAAGAUAAUGACGGUAUUAUAUGAAUAAGCACCGGCUAACUCCGUGCCAGCCGCCGCCGUAA